AUGCCUAAGACAUGCAAGUACGAACGAAGUGGCCCAAUGAAGAAUGCGAGCUUGCUCAAGUUGGAUUGGAUUCCCACUUAGUGGCGCAAGGGUGAGUAACACGUGGGUAAUCUACCUUCGAGUCUGGAAUAACAGUUAGAAAUGAUUGCUAAUGCCGGAUAAUAUGGAGAACGAUAUUUCAUUUUUUAUUAAAAGGAGCCUUUAAAGCUUCGCUUGAAGAUGAGCCUGCGCCGUAUUAGCUAGUUGGUGGGGUAAAGGCCUACCAAGGCAACGAUGCGUAGCCGACCUGAGAGGGUGAUCGGUCACACUGGGACUGAGACACGGCCCAGACUCCUACGGGAGACAGCAGUUAGGAAUAUUCGUCAAUGGGGGAAACCCUGAACGAGCAAUGCCGCGUGAAGGGAAUGACGGUCCUAUGGAUUGUAAACUUCUGUUGUUAGGGAAGAACGACCUGUAUAGGAAAUGAUACAGGAGUGACGGUACCUUUCAAGAAAGCUCCGGCUAACUACGUGCCAGCCGCUGC
rnacentral:rRNA from 1 species